GAGUUUGAUUAUGGCUCAGAUUGAACGCUGGCGGCAGGCUUAACACAUGCAAGUCGAACGAUGACUCUCUAGCUUGCUAGAGAAGAUUAGUGGCGGACGGGUGAGUAACAUUUAGGAAUCUGCCUAGUAGUGGGGGAUAGCUCGGGGAAACUCGAAUUAAUACCGCAUACGACCUACGGGUGAAAGGGGGCGCAAGCUCUUGCUAUUAGAUGAGCCUAAAUCAGAUUAGCUAGUUGGUGGGGUAAAGGCCCACCAAGGCGACGAUCUGUAACUGGUCUGAGAGGAUGAUCAGUCACACCGGAACUGAGACACGGUCCGGACUCCUACGGGAGGCAGCAGUGGGGAAUAUUGGACAAUGGGGGCAACCCUGAUCCAGCCAUGCCGCGUGUGUGAAGAAGGCCUUUUGGUUGUAAAGCACUUUAAGCAGGGAGGAGAGGCUAAUGGUUAAUACCCAUUAGAUUAGACGUUACCUGCAGAAUAAGCACCGGCUAACUCUGUGCCAGCAGCCGCGGUAAUACAGAGGGUGCGAGCGUUAAUCGGAAUUACUGGGCGUAAAGCGAGUGUAGGUGGCUCAUUAAGUCACAUGUGAAAUCCCCGGGCUUAACCUGGGAACUGCAUGUGAUACUGGUGGUGCUAGAAUAUGUGAGAGGGAAGUAGAAUUCCAGGUGUAGCGGUGAAAUGCGUAGAGAUCUGGAGGAAUACCGAUGGCGAAGGCAGCUUCCUGGCAUAAUAUUGACACUGAGAUUCGAAAGCGUGGGUAGCAAACAGGAUUAGAUACCCUGGUAGUCCACGCCGUAAACGAUGUCUACUAGCCGUUGGGGUCCUUGAGACUUUAGUGGCGCAGUUAACGCGAUAAGUAGACCGCCUGGGGAGUACGGCCGCAAGGUUAAAACUCAAAUGAAUUGACGGGGGCCCGCACAAGCGGUGGAGCAUGUGGUUUUAUUUCGAUGCAACGCGAAGAACCUUACCUGGUCUUGACAUAGUGAGAAUCUCUCAGAGAUGAGAGAGUGCCUUUCGGAACUCACAAUAACAGGUGCUGCAUGCUGUCGUCAGCUCGUGUCGUGAGAUGUGGGUUAAGUUC
rnacentral:rRNA from 1 species